rnacentral:rRNA from 1 species
AGAUUGAACGCUGGCGGCAUGCCUUACACAUGCAAGUCGAACGGCAGCACGGGGGCAACCCUGGUGGCGAGUGGCGAACGGGUGAGUAAUGCAUCGGAACGUGCCCAGUAGUGGGGGAUAACUAGUCGAAAGAUUAGCUAAUACCGCAUACGACCUAUGGGUUAAAGCGGGGGAUUCGCAAGAACCUCGCGCUAUCGGAGCGGCCGAUGUCUGAUUAGCUAGUUGGCGGGUAAAGCCACCAAGGCUUCGAUCAGUAGCUGGUCUGAGAGGACGACCAGCACACUGGACUGAGACACGGCCCAGACUCCGUACGGGAGGCAGCAGUGGGAAUUU